rnacentral:rRNA from 1 species
CUAAAUUCAUAGGCACAUAAGGCGAACCUGGAGAACUGAAACAUCUAAGUACCCAGAGGAAAAAAAAAUCAACCGAGAUUCCGUUAGUAGCGGCGAGCGAAAGCGGAACAGCCCAGUUACUAAAUCGUUAUUGGCUUUAGCAGAAUGUUCUGGAAAGUUCAGCCGUAGUAGGUGAUAGCCCCGUAUGUAAAAAGGCUAAUAAUGUGAGUAACAAUGAGUAAGUCGGGACACGUGAAAUCUUGACUGAAUAUGGGGGGACCAUCCUCCAAGGCUAAAUACUCCUUACUGACCGAUAGCGAACUAGUACCGUAAGGGAAAGGUAAAAAGAACCCCGACAAGGGGAGUGAAAUAGAACCUGAAACCGUAUGCGUACAAGCAGUCAAAGCAUUUUUUCGAAAAUGUAAUGGCGUACCUUUUGUAUAAUGGGUCAGCGACUUACUUGUUGUAGCAAGCUUAACCGUAUAGGGGAGGCGUAAGGAAACUGAGUCUGAAAUAGGCGUUUAGUUGCAACGAGUAGACCCGAAACCGGGCGAUCUAUCUAUGGCCAGGGUGAAGGUCAAGUAACACUGACUGGAGGCCCGAACUCACUACUGUUGAAAAAGUAGGGGAUGAGUUGUAGAUAGGAGUGAAAGACUAAUCAAGCUCGGAAAUAGCUGGUUCUCCUCGAAAGCUAUUUAGGUAGCGCCUCGUGUAUGACUCUUGGGGGUAGAGCACUGUUUCGGCUAAAAGGCCUCUCAGCCUGCUAAACCGAGGCAAACUCCGAAUACCAAGAAGUUUUAGCACGGGAGACACACUGCGGGUGAUAAGGUCCGUGGUGAAAAGGGAAACAGCCCAGACCGCCAGCUAAGGUCCCAAAAUUACAGUUAAGUGAAAAACGAUGUAGGAAGUCUCAGACAGCCAGGAGGUUGGCUUAGAAGCAGCCAUCCUUUAAAGAAAGCGUAAUAGCUCACUGGUCAAGUCGUCCUGCGCGAAAGAUUUAACGGGGCUUAAACUGUAUACCGAAGCUGCGGAGCUCUUUUUAGAGCUGGUAGAGGAGCGUUCUGUAAACCUGUGAAGGUAAAUCGAAAGGUUUACUGGAGGUAUCAGAAGUGCAAAUGCUGACAUAAGUAACGAUAAUGUAGGUGAAAAACCUACACGCCGAAAGUCCAAGGUUUCCUGCGCAACGCUAAUCGGCGCAGGGUGAGUCGGCCCCUAAGGUAAAGCAGAAAUGCGUAGUCGAUGGGAAACAGGUUAAUAUUCCUGUACUUUACAAUACUGCGAUGGGAGGACGAAGAAGGCUAGGUCAGCCACUUAAUGGUUGUAGUGGUUUAAGUGUGUAGGAAAAGUUCUUUGGCAAAUCCGGGAACUUAAUUCUGAGAUAUAAUGACAAAGCAUGACUUGUUCAUGCGAAGUGACUAAUGCCACGCUUCCAGGAAAAGUCUCUAAGCUUCAGGUGUUGUAAAACCGUACCUAAACCGACACAGGUAGACAAGUAGAGAAUACUAAGGCGUUUGAGAGAACUUGGGUGAAGGAACUAGGCAAAAUGACACCGUAACUUCGGGAGAAGGUGUGCCUUUAAUAAGUGAAAGUCUUCACGACUAAAGCUGAAAAAGGUUGCAAAUACCAGGUGGCUGCGACUGUUUACUAAAAACACAGCACUCUGCAAACUCGUAAGAGGACGUAUAGGGUGUGACGCCUGCCCGGUGCCGGAAGGUUAAAUGAUGGAGUUAGUUUUCGAGCAAAGCUUCAGAUUGAAGCCCCGGUAAACGGCGGCCGUAACUAUAACGGUCCUAAGGUAGCGAAAUUCCUUGUCGGGUAAGUUCCGACCUGCACGAAUGGCGUAACGACUUCCCCGCUGUCUCCAGCAUAGACUCAGUGAAAUUGAAUUCCCCGUGAAGAUGCGGGGUUCCUGCGGUUAGACGGAAAGACCCCGUGCACCUUUACUAUAGCUUUACAUUGGCAUUCGUAGUGGCAUGUGUAGGAUAGGUGGUAGGCUUUGAAACCUGGGCGCCAGCUCAGGUGGAGCCACCCUUGAAAUACCACCCUUAUUACUAUGGAUGUCUAACCGCGGCCCGUUAUCCGGGUCCGGGACAAUGUAUGGUGGGUAGUUUGACUGGGGCGGUCGCCUCCUAAAGAGUAACGGAGGCGCGCGAUGGUGGGCUCAGAACGGUCGGAAAUCGUUCGCUGAGUGCAAUGGCAUAAGCCUGCCUGACUGCGAGACUGACAAGUCGAGCAGAGACGAAAGUCGGUCAUAGUGAUCCGGUGGUCCCGCGUGGAAGGGCCAUCGCUCAACGGAUAAAAGGUACGCCGGGGAUAACAGGCUGAUGACCCCCAAGAGUCCAUAUCGACGGGGUUGUUUGGCACCUCGAUGUCGACUCAUCGCAUCCUGGGGCUGGAGCAGGUCCCAAGGGUAUGGCUGUUCGCCAUUUAAAGCGGUACGUGAGUUGGGUUCAGAACGUCGUGAGACAGUUCGGUCCCUAUCUGCCGUGGGUGUAGGAAUAUUGAAAGGAUCUGUCCCUAGUACGAGAGGACCGGGAUGGACGGAUCUCUGGUGGACCUGUUGUGGCGCCAGCCGCAUAGCAGGGUAGCUAUAUCCGGACGGGAUAACCGCUGAAGGCAUCUAAGCGGGAAACCCACCUUAAAACGAGUAUUCCCUGAGAACCGUGGAAGACGACCACGUUGAUAGGCCGGGUGUGGAAGAGCGGCAACGCUUGAAGCUUACCGGUACUAAUAGUUCGAUCGG